UUUUUUCAAUCAUCUUGAGCUCCUCCUCCAUUGCAUCUAUCCAUUUUUUAUCAUUUGCUGCUUCUGAAUAUCCAGCAGGUUCCAUGAUUGCAACAUUACACCUUUGAUAGAUAUCAGAAAGUGAUCUUGUUCCUCUGACAGGUUCAUCAUCUAUGGCCUCAUUCUCCUCCUGAAAUUCAAUAUUCUUGCCGUCUUUCCAAUUCCAGCUAUCCAACUCCAAGAAUUUCACAUC
rnacentral:lncRNA from 1 species